rnacentral:rRNA from 1 species
GGCCAUGUUGGUUAACAGAUCCUCAUCUGCUGGACGUCUGGCGAUGAUCUUUAUCGGUUGUCGUCAGUUGCCAGCACGUUUACUUUGAGAAAAUUAGAGUGCUAAAAGCAGGCUCACGCCUAUAUAUAUUGCAUGGAAUAAUGAAAUAAGAUCUCGAUUUUAUUUCGUUGGUUUUAGAAAUUGAGAUAAUGAUUAAUAGGAUCAGAGGGGGGCGUACGUACUGUGGUGUGAGAGGUGAAAUUCUUGGAUCGCCACAGGACGAACAGCAGCGAAGGCGUUCGCCAAGAAUGUUUUCAUUAAUCAAGAACGAAAGUUUGAGGUUCGAAGACGAUUAGAUACCGUCCUAGUUCAAACCAUAAACGUUGCCAACUGUCUUUUAGAUGCGGUUAUUUAUAUGACUCAUCUGGCGGAUCUCGAGAAAUCUAAGUUUUUAGGUUCCGGGGGAAGUAUGGUUGCAAAGCUGAAACUUAAAAGAAUUGACGGAAGGACACACAAGAAGUGGAGCCUGUGGCCUAAUUUGACUCAACACGGGAAACCUUACUCGGCCAGGACACUUUUAGGAUUGACAGAUUGAGAGCUCUUUCUUGAUUAGGUGGGGUGGGUGGUGCAUGGUCGUUCGUAGUUCGUGGAGCGAUUUGUCUGAUUAAUUUCGAUAACGAACGAGAAUCCGGCUUACUAAAUAGUAUAAAGUUGGAAGGGACUUUUCAAGACUUCUAGCAGGAUAAGUGG